rfam:Oryza barthii chromosome 6, whole genome shotgun sequence.
GUGGUCGACAACGACGAUCUCAUCAGCUACAUCAUCGCGGGCCUCGACAACGACUAUGAGCCCAUGAUCCAAUCCAUUGUCGGGCAACCAGAUCAAGUCACGGUCGGUGAGGCCUUCGCUCAGCUCUUGAAUUUUGAGC